rnacentral:rRNA from 1 species
GAUGAACGCUAGCGGCAGGCUUAAUACAUGCAAGUCGAGGGGCAGCGCAGUGUAGCAAUACAUGGGCGGCGACCGGCAAACGGGUGCGGAACACGUACGCAACCUUCCUUUAACUGGGAGAUAGCCCACCGAAAGGUGGAUUAAUAUCCCAUAGUAUAUUUGAAUGGCAUCAUUUAGAUAUUAAAGCUCCGGCGGUUAAAGAUGGGCGUGCGUCUGAUUAGGUAGUUGGCGGGGUAACGGCCCACCAAGCCCACGAUCAGUAGCUGAUGUGAGAGCAUGAUCAGCCACACGGGCACGUAGACACGGGCCCGACUCCUACGGGAGGCAGCAGUAAGGAAUAUUGGUCAAUGGACGCAAGUCUGAACCAGCCAUGCCGCGUGAAGGAUGAAGGUCCUCUGGAUUGUAAACUUCUUUUAUAUGGGAAGAAACCCACUUUUUCUUGAGUGGUUGACGGUACCAUAGGAAUAAGCACCGGCUAACUCCGUGCCAGCCGCCGCCGUAAAAC